GCCCUGGCGCGUGCUAUACAUGCAAGUCGAGCGGACAGAUGGGAGCUUGCUCCCUGAUGUUAGCGGCGGACGGGUGAGUAACACGUGGGUAACCUGCCUGUAAGACUGGGAUAACUCCGGGAAACCGGGGCUAAUACCGGAUGGUUGUUUGAACCGCAUGGUUCAGACAUAAAAGGUGGCUUCGGCUACCACUUACAGAUGGACCCGCGGCGCAUUAGCUAGUUGGUGAGGUAACGGCUCACCAAGGCGACGAUGCGUAGCCGACCUGAGAGGGUGAUCGGCCACACUGGGACUGAGACACGGCCCAGACUCCUACGGGAGGCAGCAGUAGGGAAUCUUCCGCAAUGGACGAAAGUCUGACGGAGCAACGCCGCGUGAGUGAUGAAGGUUUUCGGAUCGUAAAGCUCUGUUGUUAGGGAAGAACAAGUGCCGUUCAAAUAGGGCGGCACCUUGACGGUACCUAACCAGAAAGCCACGGCUAACUACGUGCCAGCAGCCGCGGUAAUACGUAGGUGGCAAGCGUUGUCCGGAAUUAUUGGGCGUAAAGGGCUCGCAGGCGGUUUCUUAAGUCUGAUGUGAAAGCCCCCGGCUCAACCGGGGAGGGUCAUUGGAAACUGGGGAACUUGAGUGCAGAAGAGGAGAGUGGAAUUCCACGUGUAGCGGUGAAAUGCGUAGAGAUGUGGAGGAACACCAGUGGCGAAGGCGACUCUCUGGUCUGUAACUGACGCUGAGGAGCGAAAGCGUGGGGAGCGAACAGGAUUAGAUACCCUGGUAGUCCACGCCGUAAACGAUGAGUGCUAAGUGUUAGGGGGUUUCCGCCCCUUAGUGCUGCAGCUAACGCAUUAAGCACUCCGCCUGGGGAGUACGGUCGCAAGACUGAAACUCAAAGGAAUUGACGGGGGCCCGCACAAGCGGUGGAGCAUGUGGUUUAAUUCGAAGCAACGCGAAGAACCUUACCAGGUCUUGACAUCCUCUGACAAUCCUAGAGAUAGGACGUCCCCUUCGGGGGCAGAGUGACAGGUGGUGCAUGGUUGUCGUCAGCUCGUGUCGUGAGAUGUUGGGUUAAGUCCCGCAACGAGCGCAACCCUUGAUCUUAGUUGCCAGCAUUCAGUUGGGCACUCUAAGGUGACUGCCGGUGACAAACCGGAAGAAGGUGGGGAUGACGUCAAAUCAUCAUGCCCCUUAUGACCUGGGCU
rnacentral:rRNA from 1 species